GAAAGAGAUAGAUGUGGGUUUGUUUGUUUUUCAGAAUUUAUAACCUAACUCUAGGUUGAGAAUAGUGUGUAGAUGAUCAAAAUUUCAUACUCUGCAGGCUCACAUUCUCAAGGAGGAAGCCCUCUCUGUUGAGGAGAAAAAGAAAUGGGUGGCAAACAACCGGCAUCUCCGUUCUGACAUGAAUCAGUUUUUUGUCGAAAGAUGUCGAUGGGAAAUUCAGUUUAAGGAAAUGUUCUUAAAGCCUCUCUAUGAAGAGAGACAUAUUGCCGCUCAAGAAAUCUCAAGUUUUUGGAGUCUUGCCAUGCUUUCUGACAGGCUAGUUUCUAAGCAGGUGUGCAAUUUCUCAGCCAAACUUUCUUCUGUGCUUUUGUUUUACUUAUGUUUCUAAUCAAGUGUAGACGCUUGAUCAUGCUCUCGAGUAUUUGAAUGAUAUCGAGUCCAGUAGGACAACUAAUUUGAAAGGAUUUGAGCUGAAGUUCACCUUUGACGACAAUCCUUUUUUUAAGAAUAAGGUCUUGACUAAAAAGUAUGAGGUGACGGGUGACAACGACAACGUUUCCUUGAAGGCAAUUGGGACUAAAAUAGAUUGGAAUCCUUCCCACAACUUAAAUGAGAAUCGUGGUAAACGCAGUAAAAGUUUCUUCAAUUUCUUCAAGUCAUAUGCUACUGUCGAUCCUCUUUCUUUUGACAUGGAAGUUGAUGAACUCAAAGGUGACCUUCCAGAAGAUUAUGAAAUCGGAUCCGAGACAAGAUCAUUCUGCAUGCUACAUCGAGUUUGGCACUCUUGCCUACAUCCGGUGAUGAUGAUUCUGAUGAUGGUGAUACCGGUGAUGGUGAUUCUGAUGAUGGCGUUUAAAUUUUGUGUAUAGUUUCAGUCUAAUCUUCUGUUAAAAGUUGAUAUCUUUUUGUUCAAUCUGCAUGGACUCCAUUUGUUUCAAUAAAGUUGGAGGUUUUAUCUUGCUUGAACAAUUUCA